rnacentral:rRNA from 1 species
UGGGGAAUAUUGCACAAUGGGCGAAAGCCUGAUGCAGCAACGCCGCGUGAGUGAUGAAGGUCUUCGGAUUGUAAAGCUCUGUCUUUUGGACGAUAAUGACGGUACCAAAGGAGGAAGCCACGGCUAACUACGUGCCAGCAGCCGCGGUAAUACGUAGGUGGCGAGCGUUGUCCGGAUUUACUGGGCGUAAAGGGUGCGUAGGCGGAUGUUUAAGUGAGAUGUGAAAUACCCGGGCUUAACUUGGGUGCUGCAUUUCAAACUGGAUAUCUAGAGUGCAGGAGAGGAGAAUGGAAUUCCUAGUGUAGCGGUGAAAUGCGUAGAGAUUAGGAAGAACACCAGUGGCGAAGGCGAUUCUCUGGACUGUAACUGACGCUGAGGCACGAAAGCGUGGGUAGCAAACAGGAUUAGAUACCCUGGUAGUCCACGCCGUAAACGAUGAGUACUAGGUGUAGGAGGUAUCGACCCCUUCUGUGCCGCAGUAAACACAUUAAGUACUCCGCCUGGGAAGUACGAUCGCAAGAUUAAAACUCUAAGGUGAAUUGACGGGGUC